rnacentral:rRNA from 1 species
GACGAACGCUGGCGGCGUGCUUAACACAUGCAAGUCGAGCGGAGCGGCGAACGGGUGAGUAACGCGUGAGUAACUGCCCCCCUCCCUGGGAUAACAGUUGGAAACGGCUGCUAAUACAGGAUAGUGGGGGAUGACUCGCGUCCUAUCAGCUUAGGGGGGGGGUGGUGGCAUACCAAGGCGACGACGGGUAGCCGGCCUGAGAGGGCGACCGGCCACAUGGGGCUGAGAUACGGGCCAGGGUCCUACGGGGGGCAUGAGUGGAGAAUAGUGCACAAUGGGGGAAACCCUGAUGCGGGAGCGCGGGUGCGGGAGGUCGGCCUUCGGGUUGUAAUCCGCUGUCAGCCAUGACGCGGUAGUGGCAGAAGAAGCACCGGCUAACUACGUGCCAGCAGCCGCGGUAAUAC